GUGGGGAUAUAAUCUGCAACUAUGAGCUUGCUGGGGAAUCAACACAGCCCAUUGCGAAGACCUUAAGGCCAGUGUGGGGACUGAUGGAUAAGUGCUACCCUGUGACCACUCAGAGAAGAAAACUCAAGAGUGGGAAGAAGCAAGUCUCCAGGCUAAGAAAGACUCCCCUGGAAAGGCCGGCCAUGGCUCCCUUCCUGAGAGAAUGCGAUUGGACUCAGGGAUACCCAGCUCAUGGAGCAAGCUCCAGGAGUCGUGGCCUCCAGGGACAUGGGAGGACAGAGUGACGCUGCCUCAAACGAGGACACUGACAUCUUGUCUCAGGAGGAAGGGCAGAGGCUUCUAUGAUGGAAAGCAAGGAGGAAACACCUUGAGAAAGUUCUGGCUAGGUUUUCCCAGCCUCUGACACCCUCAAGAAGAAGAACCAUGAAUGAGAAAGGAUCCAAU